UACGUAGGAGGCGAGCGUUGUCCGGAGUUACUGGGCGUAAAGGGUGCGUAGGCGGUGCGGUAAGCCUGUUGUGAAAUCUCCGGGCUCAACUCGGAGUCUGCAUCAGAAACUGCCGUGCUGGAGUGUGGGAGAGGUGAGUGGAAUUCCCGGUGUGGCGGUGAAAUGCGUAGAGAUCGGGAGGAACACCUGCGGCGAAAGCGGCUCACUGGACCAUAACUGACGCUGAGGCGCGAAAGCUAGGGGAGCAAACAGG
rnacentral:rRNA from 1 species